GCCUUCGAAGAUCAGUGGCGAUCGUUCCCUUUCAAUACUGGUGAAAUGCUUGAAUUGGCCACGGGAAAGGCGGGGUUCGACUCCCCGCGAAGGCA